rnacentral:rRNA from 1 species
CCGGUAAACGGCGGCCGUAACUAUAACGGUCCUAAGGUAGCGAAAUUCCUUGUCGGGUAAGUUCCGACCUGCACGAAUGGCGUAAUGAUGGCCAGGCUGUCUCCACCCGAGACUCAGUGAAAUUGAACUCGCUGUGAAGAUGCAGUGUACCCGCGGCAAGACGGAAAGACCCCGUGAACCUUUACUAUAGCUUGACACUGAACAUUGAGCCUUGAUGUGUAGGAUAGGUGGGAGGCUUUGAAGUGUGGACGCCAGUCUGCAUGGAGCCGACCUUGAAAUACCACCCUUUAAUGUUUGAUGUUCUAACGUUGACCCGUGAUCCGGGUUGCGGACAGUGUCUGGUGGGUAGUUUGACUGGGGCGGUCUCCUCCUAAAGAGUAACGGAGGAGCACGAAGGUUGGCUAAUCCUGGUCGGACAUCAGGAGGUUAGUGCAAUGGCAUAAGCCAGCUUGACUGCGAGCGUGACGGCGCGAGCAGGUGCGAAAGCAGGUCAUAGUGAUCCGGUGGUUCUGAAUGGAAGGGCCAUCGCUCAACGGAUAAAAGGUACUCCGGGGAUAACAGGCUGAUACCGCCCAAGAGUUCAUAUCGACGGCGGUGUUUGGCACCUCGAUGUCGGCUCAUCACAUCCUGGGGCUGAAGUAGGUCCCAAGGGUAUGGCUGUUCGCCAUUUAAAGUGGUACGCGAGCUGGGUUUAGAACGUCGUGAGACAGUUCGGUCCCUAUCUGCCGUGGGCGCUGGAGAAUUGAGGGGGGCUGCUCCUAGUACGAGAGGACCGGAGUGGACGCAUCACUGGUGUUCGGGUUGUCA